AGCUUAACCGGCAGCGGGAUGCGCUGGCCCGCGUCAACCAGCAGCAGGAGCGGCUGAGUACCGUUCAGAACCGCUACGAGUCAGGCAAGCGCGCUGUCGCGCGGGUGCAGCAGCUGGCUAAUGCGGGUGUAGGC
rnacentral:misc_RNA from 1 species